GGCACCUUCCGCUGGUCGGCGUGGACGCGCGUCGCGGGAUAGCCUGGGGGCCAGGGCCGCAGGGUAGCCUCGAUGGCUCUUCACACCCCCACCUCCCUGCACCCACCUUGAAAGCUUCGUGUCCACUCACCCAUUCAUGCACUCACUUAUACAUUCAUUUAUUCCUAAGUAUUUAUGAGCGCCUGCGCCCACCACGUGCUGGCAAGAAUUGGGUUUCUCCCCUUCCUGGGAAGCUGUAAUAACCCACAACCAGCCUACGAAGCCCAUCCCGCGUCAUACACUCAAUGUAAACAAAAGCAAAGAAAACAUUGAAGAGCUCGGGGUAGUCUUACCGGAAAACUGAGAAGAAAAACAACAAAUUGAUAGACAGGUGCCUGCCUAACUACCUGACUGCUAGAGGACACAUGUCCCAGGGCUGAUACAAGAGCCUGCCACCCUUGGAGAGUCUGGGAUGAAAACUCUCUGAAAAUGGCAUUCCAAUGGAACUGACUUUAAGCCCUGGGCUGGACCCCAAGGCCUUCCAAUACCGUCCUUCCUGUGCUUGAAAGCGUGGGUAGAUCUUUCCGGUCACUGAGGCCUGCUAAAGUCCUUCACAGGCAGUGAAAGAUUCAACCUAAAUCUAGCAGGUAUAGGAGGCAGGUGCUAUAUUUAGAACAGCACACAUUUCCCAUUGGGCCUCUUCUCCUGUAGUGAUGAGAAUAUAGUACAAGUCAAAUAUAGGUUGUGAACGUCAUCACACUCUGCAAGAGCUGCUUCUGCCUUUGUGGUUGCACAAUCCCUAAGGAGGCCCUACAAGAAGAUCACAGUCCCCAGCCACACCUGCAGCCUGUCCUGGACACUGGUGACGAACACAGGGUUUGUGCAAGCUAAAGAAACUGCUCUCCAUACGGGCGUGCCUCACCUCUGUUUGAAAGAUCAGUAGGGAAUGACUAGCUUGGAUCAAUCCACAUUCUGAAUUCCCUGGAGAGAGGAUCUAAUAGGCUGGCAGCAGCUCUCCACCCUGGUGCACUGAGCAAUAGCUAAGGGGCAGUGUGCUCUGCCUUUGACACCUUGAUUUUCCUUCAAGGCUUCUGCUCUGGACUCGCCAUCUGUGAGACUUCCUACCCACCCACCCCUUAAAAAACACACACACACUUUUAAUUGUUAAUUUUAGAUUUGUACAACCACUGAACAAAACAUAACUAUUUAACAAGUUCUAUAUGUUUAAUGUCGAAAGUGUUUUCUGUGUCUAGUCUACAGUAAGUUCUCAAUAAAUAGUAAUUUGAAUGAAUGAAUAAAGAA
ensembl:lncRNA novel transcript